rnacentral:ncRNA from 1 species
ACGCGUGCUACAAUGUUAGGAUCAAUAGGACUGCGAGCCUGAGAGGGUGCGCUACUCUUAUAAUCCCUAACGUAGUUGGGAUUGACGUUUGUAAUCAGCGUCAUGAACCAGGAAUCCCUUGUAAAUGUGUGUCAACAACGCACGUUGAAUACGUCCCUGCCCUUUGUACACACCGCCCGUCGCUCCUACCGAUUGGAUGACUCGGUGAAAUCACCGGAUGCUUACGAGCAGAAAGUGAUUAAAUCACGUUAUCUAGAGGAAGGAGAAGUCGUAACAAGGUAACGGUAGGUGAACCUGCCGUUGGAUCAGUU